UACAGAGGGUGCAAGCGUUAAUCGGAAUUACUGGGCGUAAAGCGUGCGUAGUCGGUUAUUUAAGUCGGGUGUGAAAGCCCCGGGCUCAACCUGGGAAUUGCAUUCGAUACUGGAUAGCUAGAGUUCGGCAGAGGGAAGCGGAAUUUCCGGUGUAGCGGUGAAAUGCGUAGAUAUCGGAAGGAACAUCAGUGGCGAAGGCAGCUCGCUGGGACGUUACUGACACUAAGGCGCGAAAGCGUGGGGAGCGAACAGG
rnacentral:rRNA from 1 species